rnacentral:rRNA from 1 species
UAAACGACUCUCGGCAACGGAUAUCUUGGCUCUCGCAUCGAUGAAGAACGUAGCGAAAUGCGAUACUUGGUGUGAAUUGCAGAAUCCCGUGAACCAUCGAGUUUUUGAACGCAAGUUGCGCCCGAAGCUCUCGGGCUUAGGGCACGUCUGCCUGGGCGUCAUGC